rnacentral:rRNA from 1 species
UACGUAGGGCGCAAGCGUUAUCCGGAAUUAUUGGGCGUAAAGAGCUCGUAGGCGGUUUGUCGCGUCUGCCGUGAAAGUCCGGGGCUCAACUCCGGAUCUGCGGUGGGUACGGGCAGACUAGAGUGAUGUAGGGGAGACGUGGAAUUCCUGGUGUAGCGGUGAAAUGCGCAGAUAUCAGGAGGAACGACCGAUGGCGAAGGCAGGUCUCUGGGCAUUAACUGACGCUGAGGAGCGAAAGCAUGGGGAGCGAAACAGG